rfam:Clostridiales bacterium 52_15 Ley3_66761_scaffold_7043, whole genome shotgun sequence.
ACAAUGAUACUCUCGUCCUUCCUCGGAAGGGCGGCUCGGAGCGUUCCUCGGAGGGGUGAGAUUCCCGUGA